UCCGCAGGUGGCUUGAUAAGACAGGCGUGAAAUCCCCGAGCUCAACUUGGGAAUUGCGCUUGUGACUGUCUCGCUAGAGUAUGGGAGAGGGGGGUGGAAUUCCACGUGUAGCAGUGAAAUGCGUAGAGAUGUGGAGGAACACCGAUGGCGAAGGCAACCCCCUGGCCUGAUACUGACACUCAUGGACGAAAGCGUGGGGAGCAAACAGGAUUAGAUACCCUGGUAGUCCACGCCCUAAACGAUGUCUACUAGUUGUUGGGCUUUUCGGAGCUUAGUAGCGCAGCUAACGCGUGAAGUAGACCGCCUGGGGAGUACGGUCGCAAGACUAAA
rnacentral:rRNA from 1 species